rnacentral:rRNA from 1 species
UACGGGGGGGAGCAAGCGUUGUUCGGAUUUACUGGGCGUAAAGCGCGCGUAGGCGGAUCUGCAAGUCGGGGGUGAAAUCCCGAGGCUCAACCUCGGAACUGCCUUCGAUACUGCGGGUCUCGAGUCCGGGAGAGGUGAGUGGAAUUCCUAGUGUAGAGGUGAAAAUUCGUAGAUAUUAGGAAGAACACCAGUGGCGAAGGCGGCUCACUGGCCCGGUACUGACGCUGAGGCGCGAAAGCGUGGGGAGCAAACAGGG